rnacentral:rRNA from 1 species
UACGGAGGGUGCAAACGUUGCUCGGAAUCAUUGGGCGUAAAGCGCACGUAGGCGGCCUGACAAGUCGGGUGUGAAAGCCUUCGGCUCAACCGAGGAAGUGCACUCGAAACUGGCAAGCUUGAGUAUGGAAGAGGGUCGCGGAAUUCCCGGUGUAGAGGUGAAAUUCGUAGAUAUCGGGAGGAACACCAGCGGCGAAGGCGGCGACCUGGGCCAAUACUGACGCUGAGGAGCGAAAGCGUGGGGAGCGAACAGG